GGCCUCGAGGCAUGUGGGAUCUCAGCUCCCCACUAGGGAUCAAACCCGCACCCCCUGAACUGGAAGGCAGAGUCAACCACUGGACCGCCAGGCGAGACCCUGAGCAGCAACUUCUUGUCAGAGGUCUUGAAUUUCAGCUCUCCAGGGCCCUCCAAGCUUCUAAAAUUGAACAAUUUCAGCCUCUUCCCUAAGAGUGGCAGCUUCCUGCAUGAUAACCUUAAGCGUUCUCUUUUUGCCUUUUUAGCUUUUUAGUACCCCAUUAACAAUUAUUUAUAUUAGAUUUCCCCUGUUAAAAUAAGGAUGGCUUUUAUCUCCUGACUAGAUUUUGACAGAUACAGACUCAUCCUACAGCAGUAAUAUCUGAAAUCAUGGGCUCCGUACGGCUUGAAACCCUGCUUUUUCUAAUCUGCAUUCAAGUUUACAACUAUUAAAGUAAAGACGUUCAACCCUUUCCACUUCCUGGAAGUUAUCUCGUGUAACCAGAAGUUAGCAGACCACUUUUUGGAGAACACUGCCCAGCACAGUAAUGCCCAUCGGCUUGGUUGCUGAGUCAUUCAUGUUCAUCCCCUUAGUUGUCAAGCUACUUACUGUCCUCUAGGGCAGGAACUAUAUCUUACCUUUUUUUAAUUUACUCCUGCACCUAGCAAGGGAUAUGGCUCAUAUUAAAGGCUUUGAUAAAUGUUUCUUAAGUGAAUGGAUUUGGGAACCAGUUGGCCUACAGAGCAUGUUUAAACCACACAGCUAUGGAAGUAAUGACCAACCAAAUGAGAAAAAACAAAGACUUUUUUCUGAGCUUGCCGUAUAGCUAGGGAGUCAGCCACCAUCACUUGUGCCUUAGCAGACUCAGGCAGGCAGACAGACAGUGGGAAAGCUUUACAGUGGGAAAAAGGGAAGGGUUAGGCGUGCCUUGAUUGGAGGCUGUUGGCAUGGGAAAGUUAUAGGCAGCCAACUAGCAGCAGGGCAUCCUAAGUCAUUGGUUAGGGUCUUGUAUUUUACUUUCUCUAGUUGGUCCCAAAUUGGAAAUAGGGAGAAAAAUUAAGCAAGUUGUCAGUUAUUAACCAAGUCCUGACCAUUUGGGGCUGAUUGUUACAAAGUUAUUUUUUAGCUUCCUGGAUUGUCCCUGGAGAUAGCCAUCUGACUUCCUGCCAAGUCUGGCUUGUAGCAGGCUGGCUUCCUGAGUUGUUUAUUAUAAAGGUUUGAUUUCUUGGGCAGGUUGCUGCAGGUUAUGAAUCAAAAUUCUGUUUUUAUAUGUGGUCUGGCCAUUGUCCAUUUGUGUAUUCAGUCUCACAAUGCUCAGGUUUAUUUCUAAUCGUACUAUAAAAUACAACCAUUUGAUCAUGUCUCUGAGGAAGCCUGCACCCAAUUUAAGAAGAGGAUGCCACCAGUGGGAUCAGGGAUGUUUGUGGUCCAGCCAUUAAGGGAGCUGUCUGUGCUGGAAGCAGACCCUUCAGUGGUUAAUGCCACAGAGACAAAGCCACCAAAUCAGGCGACUGAAACUUUUUGCCCUCCCAGAUCUUGGGGAAGAAAACUGAAUACCACUGGCUAAUGGAUACAAAAUUCAAUUUAAAAGAUAAUCAUCAUUUCACUCAUAUACAACCAGCCAUUCGCUGACAUUCAAGUUGGUUGACGAACUUUAUCAAAGUGGGCUAUUUGGGGAGGGAGAGAAGAUAUAGCUAUAAUAGUAAUUGCAAGAAAAUCUCCAGAGAACUUCCCAUGUAUAAUGUCUUUUAUGAAGAUACCAGUGUCUCUACUUGCCUACCAAAACACUCUUACAUUUUCCCAAUCCUGGCUUCAGAGAACACAUAGGUACCUUUUCAUUUGAGUCCAAGGUGUAUUGGCAGCUUCUUAAAAGAGAGUCUGUGGUCUGACUUCCCCUCUCCCUGUAGGCAUAGCCUUCCAUAAGCAGUUUACUAAAAUUAUUUGGUGUCUCUGUAAGUUUUUAUAGAGCUAUAAGCUUCUCACUACACGGUAAGUUCUAAUUUUAAUUUUAAUCAUUAUGAAAGUCAUUAAUCCAUAAAUGGGCCCUGUUUAGCCCUCUUUGGACAAAGAAACUAUUUACACAGAGAGGAUACUACCUUCCAAGCCAGCAGCUCAAUUUUAUAUCCUGGAGUUUCCCUCCAACAUAUUUAGCUUGUUUUCCAUGUGGCCUGUGUUUUCUCUUGCCCCAGGAAAAAAGAUGCAAAAUCACACUGUGCUCUGUAAGGCGUAUUUAAUCUGGUUGCUAUCCCUUGCUAAUUUCUCUUCCAUCCGCAUUGUCUGGAUGGGAGAAAAGCCUGUCUGCCCAAGAGUAGCAGGGGUAAUCGUGUGUUGUUGCAAAAUUGCAGCAGGAUCAAACAAGACCAUCAGGGAAUGAAGAUGACAACCUGACAAAUAUUGGCAGAUUAUGAUUCCCGGCGACUUGUCUUCCUCCUCUCCCACUCAUGGCAAGCUCUCACACCCACGUCCCCAUCUCCGACCUCUGCUCUGAUCAUUGUUCCUGAUGUCGCUUUACCACAUAUGACACCCACGCCAAGUGGAUGGGUCCUUGAACCUUUGCUACUCCCACCUCAGAUUCUCAUUUAACCUCAUUGGGAUGGGAACAACUUAAAAAUGGAUAAUAACAAGCGUGCUGUUUGAGCCAUAGACCAGAUUCUGGAGUCCAUGGUAACAGAAAACAUGAGCUACCUCAGGAGUACAAAGCAGAAACCCACACUUGAUCAUCAGAAACCCUAGCAGGUAUUUAACCAAGAAGGGAGCUGGUAAUGGAGGACCCAGAUGUUACCUGGAGGAAAAUGAAGCAAGGUAGAAGCAGUUACUCAUACCACUGCAACAGGCAUGCGAAGAUUUGUCAUUAAAUGCCAGCCAAGUGCCGGGAAUAUUUCUGAUAUUAUUCGACUGUUUGUUUGUUAAGCAAAUGUUGAGUUCUGAGGCUCAGCCAGCCACUGACUUGUGGACUGGAGAUAUAAUUUAUUGCCUCCAUUUUAUCCAUGAAGAAACUGAGGUACAAAGACAUUCUGUAACUCACCUGAUGUCACACAGCUUUUAAGUGAUAGAGCAGUAUAUGAGCCCAGAUUUACUGAACUCAAAGCCCACACUCUUUCUCUCGUGUCCCACUACAGGGGAAAGCAAAAGACUAGAAUUGGGAAACAGGCAUAAAACAACCUAGCCCCAUAAGACCCUAAUUGUUCCCAAACAGAAUCUCGCAGAAUUAUAUUGUACUACCUGGUAUUUUUUUAAUAUUUCCUUUUUUCUAAAUUUACUUUUUCCAGAUGGUAUGGGUUAAAUUCACAUUAAUAAUCUGUUUUCAACAUAAACGAUUAAUUUCGUAAAUAGGGUAUUCUCUAUAUUAGUGAUCCCGUAUUAAGAAAGAUUUCACAUGUCAAUCUAUGGUAACAAAAAAAUUGGAAAAGCAAUUAUUUGAUGAGUGCUCACUUGGAGUAUAACUGUGUCAUCACAUAUUCAUUUAGGUCAUAUUCUAUGAUAUACUACCUAAUUUCAAAGCAGGGAUUAUGCCUCACUGUUCUUUGGUUCCAAACCAAGUCCCUCAUGUAGGGCUUUGUAAAGAAGUAGGUAUUUAAAGAUAAUAGUGAAUUGAAUGGAAAAAAAAAUUUUUUUUCUGUUUACGUAGCCUCACAUAAAUGUUUUUAGUGACUCUCUGUGAAUUUAUUUAAUAAAUAUUGGCUCCUCAGAGAUUUUGCAUACUUCACUGUUUUGUGAGAUAAUUCUAUCUGCAGGCAUAUAUUCACAAAUUCAAAGUCUUUAGUUGAAGUUUCAAGAGUAAUGGAGUAGAAUUUCAGUACCUUCCCCAGGAGGUUAGAAUUAUAAAAUUCUUAGUUUGGGAUUUACUUCUCCCUUCUGAUUUAUUCCAGGCACCAGAUUCUACUCUCUCUGUCAAACAGAAUAUGCAAGGCAUCUGAGGCUGAUUCUUCCCAGAAAUUAACUCCAGGGCCCACCCCAUCUGGUUAUUACAAGAUAUUGAAUGUAGUUCCCUGUGCUAUAUGGAAGAAAAUGAAGAGGUGGAGGAAGUAUGGAAAGCUGUUUCUUCACUGAACUUCCCUGAGAAGGGGCCAAGGAAGAGAUUGGCUUCAAGCUGAAGAUUUUAAAAGUAACUCUGUUAAAAGGUCAGGUCAUUUUAUAUGUCUCUUUUAUUUUGACACUCUAUCAACUGGUAAAGGGAAUUUCUGUUUUUAGUCAACAUUGAGGUAUAAUGUGUAUGUGAUAAGAUGCAACCAUUUUAAAUCUAUGGUUUGAUGACUUUUGACAAAAGUAUUCACCUGGGUAACCAUCACCACAAUGGAGAUGUAGACUGCUUCCAUCUACCCUAGAAAUUCCCUCAUUCCUCCCUGUGGUCAAUUCCUGAUCUCCUGUCUUAGGCAACCACUGAUCUGUUUCUGCCACAUUAUGUUAGUUUUGCCUGUUCUAAAAUUUCAUAUAAGUGGAAUCUUAUAGUACGUAUUUUUUUGUACCCAGGUUCUUUUGCUCAGCAUAAUGUUUUGAGAUUUAUCCAUGUUGUUUGCACGUUUCCUGCACUUCCAAAAUAAACUGCUUGCACUUGAACCUUCAUUUCAGGGUCUGCUUCUGGGGGAACCCAAAUUGAGACAGCAACUCUGAGUCAGACUUUGGAACAAUUGUUAUUGACAAUGUAUGGGUAGAUUGGCAGGCAGACAGAUAGAUGAUAGAUAGGUAGGUAGAUAGAUAGAUAGAUAGAUAAUACAUAAAAUCAAGAAAAGAAUGAUUGGAAAGGAGAAGGAUCACAGACUUUUAUCUAGAAAAUUUGUAUUGAUUACAUUCAUAUUUCUUACUGAAUGUUUAAAGAUGGCAAAUUUCUUUCAAAGAUUUUUAUUGCGGAAUUUCAAAUCUAUACAAAAAAGUAGACUGAAUAGUAUCGUAAGUUUCCAUGUACCCAUUUUCCAGCUUCAACAACUUACUUACAGCCAUCUUGUUACAUUUAUACUUCCAUCCACUUACCCCACUCUAUAUUAUUUUGAAUGAAAUAUCAUGUCAUACCAUUUCAUCUGAAAAUAUUUUAGUAUAUAUGUCUAAAAGAUAAGGGCUUUUAAAAUAACUAUUAUCACAUGUAAAGUAACAUUUUCUUAAUAUCAUAAAAUAUCCAAUUCAACUAUCUAACAAAUGUCAUAUUUUUUUUUUUACGGUUUGCUUAAUUCAAGAUCCAAAUAAGUUCUCCACAUAAUCACUCAUUGAUAUUUCUCUCAAGUGUCUUUUAAUCUAUAGUUUCCCUACUCCAUCUCACUCUUUUUCUUGCACUGCAUUUAUUAAAUAAUUACUUGAUAUAUUUUAAUUUACUAAGAUUUGGCUAAAACUAAUGCAAAUUACAUUUUUGCUUCCUUUGAGUCAUGCAAUUUAUAACCCAGUAUUAGUCCAGUUCUUUACCAUGAUUUCUUCUUUUCUGCAGACUAAUGUUGGAAACUUUUAUUUAUAUUUUGGAAGGCAUUCUCAAAAUGUAAAUGCUUGGAGGCUGUGGAAACAGCCAUAUGUAUAUGAAAGUAAAAUCAGGAGCUCUCAGAAGCUAGAUAAGUAAAGAGAAUGAGAAAGCCAGCAAUAAAUGCCAAAUUACUUUUUAAAUCUCGAAAUCAAUCAUGUCACUUUCUCUACUUAAAACGUUUCUAUGGUUUUCCACCACACUGGGAAUAAACUCAAAACUCCUUACCCUGGCCCUGUGUGGUUCAGACCUGCCUUUGUAAUCUCACCUUAUUAGCUCUCAGUCUCUUAUGACCAUACAAUCAGACGGCCUUCUCUCCAAACCUCUCUCCUCAGUAGGGUUUGUACACUUGCUUUGUCCUCUGUCUCGGUAGUGCUUGUUCCUGAGUGUAAACAAGUCUGCCCAAGAUGGAGGACUAAACAGAUGCAGACGACUACGCCCCAAGUUUAAAAACAUAUAGCCAAACCUCAAAACAAAAGACAAAAUGUUCCCGUGGCCAGCAGGGGAACUUAGCCCCAGCAACAAGCAGAAAUCAGAACCGUGUGGCCCGGGAAUGCAAAGUGGUGCAGCCACUUCGGAAAACAAUUCGGCAGUUUCUUACAAAACUAAAAUACAUUCUUACCAUCUGAUCCAGC